UCCGUGCAAAGGUAGCAUAAUAAUUUGUCUUUUAAUUUAGGACUAGAAUGAAUGGUUAAACAAGAUAAAAACUUUUUUCUUUAUUAAUAUUGAAUUUUACAUUAAAGUGAAAAGGCUUUAAUAAUAUAAAAAGACGAGAAGACCCCAAAAUUUUUAUAUAUUUAUAUUUGACAUAUAAAUAUAGAAUUUAUUUUUUUGAUUAAUAAAAAUGUUUAGCUGGGGCAGCUCUUAAAUUAAUAAAGAUUUUAAGAUUUUGAAACUUUUGAAGGUUAUAUAUGAUCCAUUUUAAAGUGAUUAAAGUUUAAAUACUUUGGGGAUAACAGUGUAAUUUUUUUUUAAGAUCUUAUUAAUAAAGAAGUUUGCGACCUCGAUGUUGAAUUAAAA
rnacentral:rRNA from 1 species